UCACCUACGGGAGGCAGCAGUGGGGAAUUUUGGACAAUGGGGGCAACCCUGAUCCAGCCAUGCCGCGUGCGGGAAGAAGGCCUUCGGGUUGUAAACCGCUUUUAGCCGGGAAGAAAAGGCGCUCUCUAAUACGGGGCGUUCUUGACGGUACCGGCGGAAUAAGCACCGGCUAACUACGUGCCAGCAGCCGCGGUAAUACGUAGGGUGCGAGCGUUAAUCGGAAUUACUGGGCGUAAAGCGUGCGCAGGCGGGUCGUUAAGUCAGAUGUGAAAGCCCCGGGCUCAACCUGGGAACUGCAUUUGAAACUGGCGGGCUUGAGUGCGGCAGAGGGGGGUGGAAUUCCGCGUGUAGCAGUGAAAUGCGUAGAGAUGCGGAGGAACACCGAUGGCGAAGGCAGCCCCCUGGGCCGACACUGACGCUCAGGCACGAAAGCGUGGGGAGCAAACAGGAUUAGAUACCCCGGUAGUCGC
rnacentral:rRNA from 1 species